AUGAUGGGAGAAGCAAGGAACAGGGCAGUAGUCCAGGAGUUUAUCCUGGAGGGAUUUCCUGCUGUCCAGCAUCUGGGGAAUGUCCUUUUCCUGGUGCACCUGCUGGCAUACCUGGCCUCCAUCAUGGCAAACAUGCUCAUAAUCACCAACACCUGGGCUGACCAUCACCUCCAGACACCUAUGUAUUUCUUCCUCAGCAGGUUUUCCUUCUGUGAAUGCUGUUUUAUCACCACAGUUAUUCCUAAACUUCUGGUCAUCUUUCUUUCAGGCAGGCAAAUAAUCCCCUUUACUACUUGUCUCAUGCAGUCCUUUUCAUUUUUAUUUCUUGGGUCAACAAUUUUCUUCCUUAUGGCUGCGAUGUCCUUGGAUCGAUACCUGGCCAUUUGCAAGCCUCUGCAUUACCCCACCAUCAUGAGUCUGAGGACUUGCUUCCACCUGGUCACUGCCUGCUUUAUCGUGGGCUUCACUCUCAUCACUGGUCUCAUGGUGAAGGUUUCCCAGUUAUCUUUCUGCAGACCCCAUGUCAUCCCUCACUUCUUCUGUGACCCCGGCCCUCUGAUCCAACUCUCCUGUUCUGACACCAGAUCUACUGAAAUGUUGGCCUUUGGCCUUGUGUCAUUCAUUCUUUUCACAUCCCUCAUUAUAACCAUCAUCGCAUACGGCAACAUAGUAGUCACAAUUGUACGACUUCUGUCAGCCAAGGAGCGGCAGAAAGCUUUCUCCACCUGCUCCUCUCACCUCAUUGUCCUCUCUCUGGUGUAUAGCAGCUGUGUCUUCAUAUAUGUGAAGCCGAAGCAAAUGGACAGGCUGGACUCCAACAGAGAGGCUGCUCUUGUGAACACAGUGGUGACCCUGCUGCUGAACCCGAUCAUUUACACUCUGCGGAACAAGCAGGUCCACCAGGCUCUGAGGGAUGGUUGGUCCAGAGUGAAAUUGUAA
rnacentral:sRNA from 1 species